CCUACGGGAGGCAGCAGUGAGGAAUAUUGGUCAAUGGCCGCAGGGCUGAACCAGCCAAGUCGCGUGAGGGAUGACGGUCCUAUGGAUUGUAAACCUCUUUUGUCAGGGAGCAAAGGGCGCCACGUGUGGCGCUUUGCGAGUACCUGAAGAAAAAGCAUCGGCGAACUCCGUGCCAGCAGCCGCGGUAAUACGGAGGAUGCGAGCGUUAUCGGGAUUUAUUGGGUUUAGAGGGUGCGCAGGCGGAAUGUCAAGUCAGCGGUAAGAUGUCGGGGCACAACCCCGUCGUGCCGUUGAAACUGGCGUUCUUGAGUGAGCGAGGAGUAUGCGGAAUGCGUGGUGUAGCGGUGGAAUGCGUAGAUAUCACGCAGAACUCCGAUUGCGAAGGCAGCAUACCGGCGCUCAACUGACGCUCAUGCACGAAAGCGUGGGGAUCGAACAGGAUUAGAUACCCGGGUAGUC
rnacentral:rRNA from 1 species